AUUGAACGCUGGCGGAAUGCUUUACACAUGCAAGUCGAACGGCAGCACGGACUUCGGUCUGGUGGCGAGUGGCGAACGGGUGAGUAAUGUAUCGGAACGUGCCCAGUCGUGGGGGAUAACGUAGUGAAAAUUACGCUAAUACCGCAUACGAUCUAUGGAUGAAAGCGGGGGAUCGCAAGACCUCGCGCGAUUGGAGCGGCCGAUAUCAGAUUAGGUAGUUGGUGGGGUAAAGGCCUACCAAGCCAACGAUCUGUAGCUGGUCUGAGAGGACGACCAGCCACACUGGAACUGAGACACGGUCCAGACUCCUACGGGAGGCAGCAGUGGGGAAUUUUGGACAAUGGGCGAAAGCCUGAUCCAGCCAUCCCGCGUGCAGGAUGAAGGCCCUCGGGUUGUAAACUGCUUUUGUACAGGACGAAAAGGUUUCUACUAAUACUAGGAGCUCAUGACGGUACUGUAAGAAUAAGCACCGGCUAACUACGUGCCAGCAGCCGCCGUAG
rnacentral:rRNA from 1 species